GACGAACGCUGGCGGAGUGCUUAACACAUGCAAGUCGAACGGAAAGGCCCAGCUUUUGUGGGGUGCACGAGAGGCGAACGGGUAAAAAACACGUGAGUAACCUGCCCUUGACUUUGGGAUAACUUCAGGAAACUGGGGCUAAUACCGGAUAGGAGCUCCUGCUGCAUGGUGGGGGUUGGAAAGUUUCGGCGGUUGGGGAUGGACUCGCGGCUUAUCAGCUUGUUGGUGGGGUAGUGGCUUACCAAGGCUUUGACGGGUAGCCGGCCUGAGAGGGUGACCGGCCACAUUGGGACUGAGAUACGGCCCAGACUCCUACGGGAGGCAGCAGUGGGAAAUAUUGCACAAUGGGCGGAAGCCUGAUGCAGCAACGCCGCGUGCGGGAUGACGGCCUUCGGGUUGUAAACCGCUUUCGCCUGUGACGAAGCGUGAGUGACGGUAAUGGGUAAAGAAGCACCGGCUAACUACGUG
rnacentral:rRNA from 1 species